rnacentral:rRNA from 1 species
UACGGGGGGGGCAAGCGUUGUUCGGAAUUACUGGGCGUAAAGGGCUCGUAGGCGGCCAACUAAGUCGGAUGUGAAAUCCCCAGGCUUAACCUGGGAACUGCAUCCGAUACUGGAUGGCUUGAAUCCGGGAGAGGGAUGCGGAAUUCCAGGUGUAGCGGUGAAAUGCGCAGAUAUCGGGAGGAACACCAAUGGCGAAGGCAGCUCGCUGGGACGGUACUGACGCUGAGGCGCGAAAGCGUGGGGAGCAAACAAG